UAGGGAGACCUAAUCCAUUUAGAAAUCGAAAACAAUGAAAAUUGUCAAUAGAAACUAAAUUGGUCUAACCUAGGUCGUUCGAGAUUGGUAGACAUCUUUCAAAGUAUUAUUCGGCUUCGUUCAAAACCAUAUAUAAUAAAUGGAAAAAGACAGCACCUAAUUGUCAAAGUUAGACCGCUGGAUGAAGUUCCAGCCAGAACCUUGAAAACUGCAUAAGAGAACAAGAAAAAGCAGGCAGACACAGACAUUUAGAUGGAUGUGGAAGCAAAAGAAAUUGU
rnacentral:misc_RNA from 1 species